UACGGGGGGGGCAAGCGUUGUUCGGAAUUACUGGGCGUAAAGGGCUCGUAGGCGGCCAACUAAGUCGGAUGUGAAAUCCCCAGGCUCAACUUGGGAACUGCAUCCGAUACUGGAUGGCUUGAAUUCGGGAGAGGGAUGCAGAAUUCCAGGUGUAGCGGUGAAAUGCGUAGAUAUCUGGAGGAAUACCGGUGGCGAAGGCGGCAUCCUGGACCGAGAUUGACGCUGAUGAGCGAAAGCUAGGGGAGCAAACGGGG
rnacentral:rRNA from 1 species